CGAUGUCAAUCCUGAAUCAAUAUUGAUGUCAAAGAUUUUGAUAUGUUUUUUUAAUCUGAAGGAUGUGUUUUCAAUAUUUCGGAGAAGUUUGUCGAAUUUUCUUGGAGCCUGUGUAAAGUAAAAAAUAAGAGAUUAAUCAAAAUUACAUAUUUUUAUUAUUAAGCAACGAUGAUCUUACCAAUGAUAUUUGAAGGUGAAACAAUGUCGGAGAAUUUUCAAGGAUACAAUCAACUACUGCAUAUUCUUGAGGACAGUCUAGACACAAGAUUGAGUAUUUUCAAAAGGUUGAAUUUAAUCUCUUGUAACGCUGAUUCAAUCUUGCAAAAGAAUUUAAUCGCAAAACCACAACAUUUAAGAAGAAGAUAAAUCAGAAUUUUUCAUAUAAGCAAUAUACUGGACAAAAAUCGGUUGCAGAAAGUUGAAGAUUAGACACCUUUAAAAGACUGCCAAAAAGAUUAGGCAAAUCGUAAAGACGUC
rnacentral:lncRNA from 1 species